UAUUCGCGUAAUUGCAAUAAAAGAAAAAUUAUAGAUGUUAAAGAAGUACACGCAUCCUAGAGAAGUGCAAGAAGAAAAUCAAAAAUAGAUUUUUCAAUUACAUUUUUUUCAUUUUUAAUCUUUCGAACGAACUUACUUGUCCAUCUUUUUCCAUGCAUGUAUAAGUAGUACAGUUAUCAUCGGACGACCAUGUCGUGCCAGAAGGACAAGUUCCUGGAUCACACAUUUUACUUGGUCGCGGGCAGCAGCCAGAUGUAUUCAUCAUUUGUACGAAACCGGGCUGCAGUUGCUCGACUUCGUUUGAAAAUUCAUCGAAAGUAGGACACUCGUUUACAGGAACUCGUCAUUUUGAUCGUCAUUCAUCGUGCCGCACAGACCGGUCGUCUUGUUCCACAUACUCUCGGACGCCUCGAUCUGCAGUAGCAGGGCGCUGUCCCAUUUUAACUUCAUGCCCAACGAGUCAAGAGAAACAAUGAUGAAGUGAGCAGACUUGUCCACACGCAACCCGGGCAAGUAUACAGAUUCCAUUAUGUAUGAUGAAUUUACGAAUGUGAUAUAUUAUUUACCGGAUAUGAGGACGCAUCGCUACCGUGAACGCCGUGAUAUCCGUUAUGAAUUUCUUGAGAAUUUUUCGUGCCAAAAACAUCGUGCAUCGACCAUGAGUGAUUCGAUUCCCGUACAUAGGUGUUGUAGGAGGUGCAGGUAUAAGCUGUGGCUGGUGGGAAUUCGAAUUCCACUCCCGCAGGACAAUUCAGCGUGCAGGAAUAUGUCUCGCUGUCGCCGGUGCAGUAAUAUCCGCCGUUGAAACGUAGUUUCUCGGCAUCGCAAGAAUCGGCAG